rnacentral:rRNA from 1 species
CCUACGGGAGGCAGCAGUGGGGAAUAGUGGGCAAUGGAGGAAACUCUGACCCAGCAACGCCGCGUGAAUGAUGAAGGUCUUCGGAUUGGAAAGUUCUUGUGGAAGGGAAGAAGAAAGGGACGGUACCGGAGGAAUAAGCCUCGGCUAACUACGGGCCAGCAGCCGCGGUAAUACGUAGGAGGCGAGCGUUAUCCGGAAUGACUGGGCGUAAAGGGUGCGUAGGUGGUUUGGCAAGUUAGUAGCGUAACUCCAAGGCUAAACCUUGGAACUCCUACUAAAACUUUUGGACUUGAGUGCAGGAGUGUCAACCGGCAUUCCUCGUGUAGCGGUG